UGAGUUUCACAUGUUUGAUAUGUAAGUGGGGCUCUUCACUGGCCUUGCUAGGCAACUGUAGCUUCUGUAGAAGAAGAUUUAGGAAAGGACUGUGAUCAUAUUUUUUUUAAAUCUUAUUCCCCAAGUUGUAUAUGACUGUUUGCUCUGUUUGCUAAGGAGUCAGUUUGGCAUUUAGUGCCAGGGAAUCCACCCCAGUACUCAUUUAAUCAAGUUUUUAUGAAAAUGUGGCAUCUUGUUUUGGUUCUUUGCACUGAUUUUAUAGCCUUAAUAUAAUGGUUUGACUCCUGAUUCCCUAAGGACUGCUUGUGUUUUGAAAGGAUAGUCCUCGCAUUGUUUAUAGAAGUUUACAUUUUAUAAUAGCUUUUUAAAAAAAGCUGCAAAUAUGACUAAUGGAAGCCUCACUUCACACCGUCUGCUGGUGUCGUGCUCUUUAGAGUGACAUCGGUUAUCACUCUUUCUCUGUUUUAUUGUAAAGAGAAGUAGUAAUUUUUUCUUAGCACAGCAUCACCUCCAAAGUCACCGCAGAAGUCUCCUUUGAUCUUACUCAUUCUCAUCCUUUCUCUCUCUUUCUCACACCCAGAUGCAGCACACAGCCUACUACAUACACACCUACGUCCACAUACCCCUGGCAAGCAAAAUUCUAAAAAGGAAUCUGUUGUCCUAGGAUACCAGACCUCCAAGAGAACAUUCUAGAAGUUACUUUUCUUCCUCCUCUCAAUGUAUAAAAACUCUAGGCUGUCCUGUGAGAACAGAGGAUGUAACUUCAGAGAAGCUGUCACCAUGAAUCAGGCUGCACCUGACUUGAAGAAACCUUCCGGGUUCUGACAUGUUGCAAGCGUUUCAUGCAACUGAAACUCUUAUUUGCUGAACAGAUAUCAGAGCACCACAAGCAGGACUUUAAAAAGAAGUCAUGGGAACGACAAUUACUGGAAAAUAACUGGCUGCCUCAUCUUUGGCUUAGGUGGUUUCAGUAUUGUUGAAUUCUCGUCUGUUUCAGAGCAAACCAAGGGAGUCUUCCAUUGAUGCAAGAUUUAAGGAUAUUGCCAAACUUGGUUUUGAGGUACUUGAGAUAUUACUUAUAAUUUCUUAA
rnacentral:lncRNA from 12 species